rnacentral:rRNA from 1 species
UCCUAGCCGUAAACGAUGAACACUAGAUGUUGGUGGUAUCAACCCCGCCAGUGUCGUAGCUAACGCAUUAAGUGUUCCGCCUGGGGAGUACGGCCGCAAGGCUAAAACUCAAAGGAAUUGACGGGGGCCCGCACAAGCAGCGGAGCGUGGGGUUUAAUUCGACGCAACGCGAAGAACCUUACCAGGGCUUGACAUGACCAGGAAUUCGGCGGAAACGUCGGCGCCUCGCAAGA